AUUUCAGGCAUGAACACUCCUCUGAAGAGGGGGGGCUGGAGGAGAGAUGGUGCCUGUCUCAGGAGCUACACAGAGAUCACAAAGCUGGACAGACUUGUAUCACAUACUCAGUUCCCAUGAUCUGAUAAGAAUUCCGGUUCCUGGCAGUGAGAGCCAGGCUCAGCUCAGGAGGACCGGAAAGCCAGAACCCUUUCCUGGGAGGCACAGAAGCCAGGCUGGUCGCAUGGUGAGCCCUGCAAGCCCCGCAGUUGGUGUGAAUAAGCACCCUGCACAGCAUCUUCAGGGACUGUGAAAGCAUACCAGCAGGGAAGAAGUCUUCAGUGAGGUCUGGUAUGAUUUCUCUAUGUCCUGCAACCAAACUAUAUUGUGUCUUCAGCACCAGGGUCCUACCACCUAGCUUUGGAGCAAUGCCAAUCAACUGUGUUGCUUUGGAGACUUCUGACUAAUAACUCAUAGGAAAGUAUAUCAUACCUGCUACUGAGAUUUUCAUUUAAGAAUCCUUGUUUUCUGGGGGAAUUGUCUACCCGUACAAGGCUUCUAUGUUUAGACCACUUCUAAUUUUUAAUGAUAUUUUUAGAUUAACUUUCAAAGUAAUGAGUUUUUCCUACAUCCUUAGUUUUGGCAAACCCACUACUCUGUCUGCAUGGCAGGAUUUCACAGUGGGUACAUUUUGCUUGCAUACCCACUCUGCCUAAACUGCUAUCUACCAGUGUCCCCACUCCUCUGCUUCCUACCAUAUGCAUUCUCUUAUCUCCUCUCCCCUUAAGAUUUUUUUUUUUUCUUCUUUCCGACUCAUGGGUCCUUUCAUCUUCCUAGGCUCUUUAAACACACAAAUCUAAGAAUUCUAAGCUACGAUUCACAUAUGGGCAGUAUCAUGCAGUAUUUGUCUUUCUAGCACUAAGGCCUCUCACUUAGGAUAGGAUAAUAUCUAGUUCCAACCAUUUUCUUGCAAAUUUCACAAUUUUAUUUUUCUUUCAUUUUAUGGAUUUUUUUGUUGUUAUUGUCAUUUGUUUUGUUUUGAUUUUUGUUUUUGUUUUUCAAGACAGAGUUUCUCUGAGUAGCUCUGGCUGUCCUAGAACUUGCUCUGUAGACUAGGCUGGCCUUGAACCCAGAGAUUCAUGUUCCUCUGUCCUAUGAGUGCUGGAAUUAAAGGUGUGUGCUAGCCCAACUGGCUUACUUUCAUUGUUUCUUACUAGCUGCAUAAAAUUCUGUUGUGUAUGUCCUACGUUUUCACUGUCUACUCAUCAGUUGAGGAACAAACAAACUGAUUCCAUUUCCAAGCUACUCUGAAGAGAGACAUAAUGGACAGAUGUGCGGGUCUUUCCACUGGGGGCUGUGGAGUCCUUUGGAGAGAUGUUCAGGAGUGGCAGAAAUACCUCAUACACUAGCGCUACUUUUAGCUUUUUGAGACACCUCCACACUGAUUCGCAGGUAUCUAAGCAAGUCCGCACCCAGCAACAGUGACGAAGGGUUUCUUCUUCCCCUUAUCCUUGCCAGCAUGUGUUAACAUUCUUGUCUUUAUGAUGUCCAUUCUGACUGGGGUUAAAUGGAU